rnacentral:rRNA from 1 species
CAUCCCGCCUAUGAAGAGGCGGARAUCAAAGCCGGGGACCUGCAAGGCCUGGCGCUCAAAGAGGGGCCCGCGCCUGAUUAGCUAGUUGGUGAGGNAAUGGCUCACCAAGGCAACGAUCAGUAUCCGGCCUGAGAGGGCGGACGGACACACUGGGACUGAGACACGGCCCANACUCCUACGGGAGGCAGCAGUGGGGAAUUGCUCGCAAUGGGCGCAAGCCUGACGACGCAACGCCNGCGUGGAGGGUGAAGACCUUCGGGUCGUAAACUCCUUUCGAUCGAGACGAAYGGCCCUUGGGUAAACAGCUCAAGGGUAUGACNGUACNCGAGAGAAGAGGCCCCGGCUAACUCCGUGCCACCAAGCCGCCGGUAAUACCKGNGGGGGCAAGCGGHUGCUCGGGAAUUACUGG